rnacentral:rRNA from 1 species
CGGGCGCAGGAAAUUUGAGAGGAGCUGUCCUUAGUACGAGAGGACCGGGAUGGACACACCGCUGGUGUACCAGUUGUUCCGCCAGGAGCAUCGCUGGGUAGCUAUGUGUGGCAGGGAUAAACGCUGAAAGCAUCUAAGCGUGAAGCCCCCCUCAAGAUGAGAUUUCCCAUUUCUUCGGAAAGUAAGAUCCCUGAAAGAUGAUCAGGUAGAUAGGUUUGGAGUGGAAGUGUAGCGAUACAUGGAGCGGACAAAUACUAAUCGAUCGAGGACUUAACCAAAA